rnacentral:lncRNA from 1 species
CCGAAAUGGGUUCAUGAAGUGCAAAAAAAAUUCAAAAAAAAAUUCAAGUUGUAUUCGUAAGUUUCUCAUUGAAAUUUGAAGUAUUGAAAAAAAAUGAAAAUUGAAAAAAAAAGUGUUGGAAAUUUUUUUUAGUAAUCAUCUUUUCUAUUCCCGAUCCUCAAAGAUUGAUUUUUCUACCCCCAUUUCUUCUACCCCAACGCCAC